rnacentral:rRNA from 1 species
UACGUAGGGGGCUAGCGUUGUCCGGAAUCAUUGGGCGUAAAGAGCGUGUAGGCGGCCCGGUAAGUCCGCUGUAAAAGUCAAAGGCUCAACCUCUGAAUGUCAGUGGAUACUGCCGGGCUAGAGUCCGGAAGAGGCGAGUGGAACUCCUGGUGUAGCGGUGGAAUGCGCAGAUAUCAGGAGGAACACCGGUGGCGAAAGCGGCUUCCUGGUCCGACACCGACGUUCAGGCACGAAAGCGUGGGGAGCAAACAGG